CUUCAAGCUGCCUAAAAUUGAUAUCUGCUUUCCUUUGACCACGGAUGUACUGGCAUUGUUGAAAGCGGGAUACCAGCGAGGUCAGGCAAAUUGCCUGGCCUUUUUGCUG
rnacentral:sRNA from 1 species